AGCAUAGUUAUAUUUUCCUAUAGGUGCCCUUUGGUUCAAAGGAAUGAAAGAACUUCCCAAAUUCCUACGGACUGCUUUCCUACACCCCAAAUCUAUAGAAUCGUCGCAAAGAGCUACGAAGCACCGAUACGUGCAAAACCUGUGUAUCCCCAUCCUGUACGUCACCGAUGCGGCGAUAAGCAUGAUACCGCAGCGAUACGCAUAUCCCUGGGGUAUCGUGAUUUUCGAUUUAAAACAAAAGAAAAAAAAUGCCGAUACGCCGCCGACACGCCAGCGACACGGGAAGCCCAGUAAAAGCCCACUCCACCACUUGCAAAGUCGUAACCCUAAACAGCCAGCACUCUCUCUAGCAGUUUGUUGUGCAGCAGAUUGGAUCGAGGAUUCAGGUGCGACCGCACGAGUGCGCCGCCGUGUUGCUACCACCGCCGCCACUGCCUGGAUUCCGUUGCGGUCAUCUGGACUCGCCUCGCCGCUCCGUGGACUCAUCUCGCCGCCGCUUGGAGUGUCCGCCGCCGCCUGUUGGCCGUCACCAGCAAGGUGUCCCCCCCGGCCCCUUCCCAAUCUCUGCUCUCUCCCGGUGGUGUCUGGUCCUCCCGCUCUUGCUGGCUUGCUGCGUGCUGAUUCUGUGUGUGCUUCCUGCCGAGUGUGUGUGUGCUGGCUGUGUGUGUGCUUGCUGCGGCGUGCGUGCAUGCGUUCGUGCUUGGUGUGUCUGCCUGCGUACUUGUUCUGUACUUGUGUGCGUGCUUGCUAGCUGCAGCUGGGCACUGGGUGCUGGCUUCUGCUGUAUCAACUGCUCCCUCCGUCCCAAAAUAAGUGUCUUGAGCUUAGUACAAAUUUGUACUAGAGCUAGUACAAAGUUGAGACGCUUAUUUUGGGACGGAGGGAGUAUGAUUUUCUGCUGACCUGAUGAUGUUGCAGCUAUUGCUAGGGAGUAAAAUACUGACAAUGACAUCUGCAGGCCAAUCUUCAGUUGAGAGGCUGGGAAGCAUCAAGCAUGUAUCAUUGGGUAAGCAAGCUACGAGCCAACGUCUUUACUGUUUUCAGCUUUUCAUGUUCAAGUGUUAUGUAUAUUUCAAAUUCUAAUACAAGCAUAUGAUGUAUUUUGCAAGUACCAUGAGGAUUCAGUAAAUCGAUGGUCAUUCAGUCAUCGAGACGAGGACUUGAUGAAAAGAGGCAUCUAUAAUACCUAAAUAGUUCAUCCCCACUAUCCUAUUUCUCUUGACAUGCAGCCUAUCCACCUCAGCAUUUUUCAACCAAUGGUGUGAUUUAACUCUGAUAAUUUUUUCUCUGAGAUAUUUAACUCUGGUAAUUAAUCAAACAAGGCCUCCUCUGUCUUCCACUGAAGCCCAUCAGUGUAAAACCUGGUAAAGAGAAGCCCAUCAGUCAUCUCUCUGUAUCCUGGCAGACCAGGCGACGCUUUCAACCCCCACCCACGCUGCAACGCACCACCAGAGGGUGCCCUGAAUUCUCAAAAAAAAAAAAACAGACGGUGCCCUGCAACCCUGCCCUCUGGCGCUCACCCAGGAAACCACCCCUCAUGCAACCCACCUCCGCCACCGCAACAAGAUCCGGUGCAGGGCCGCCGCCGCCUCUGACCCAUAAGAAUUGAGAUUCUUUGUCGCUGGUUGCCGUCCGGCGCGGCGGCGCGCAACACCUCGCGAGGUCCUGUGUACUGCAGGGUAACCGCGCCGCUACCCUCCAGUACCGAUGCGUCCAACCUCGGCCACCUCAACGGCCUCCUCAAGAGCGUCCUCCACCACCGCCUGGUUACCCAGAAGCGACGACGCCGCCGGCUCUCGGAUGACUUCCCGUGCUACAGCUAAAGUGCCUCUUUAAAUUGUGGAGCGACAUCGCUCUAAUCGUCUCCAACAUCAGUGGUACACGUCCAUGUCAUCUCCACAAGUUGUGGCCUUGGACCACUACCAUUCCUUAUUUAUGUCUACAUGAAGUGUUUGCCACAAUGGAUACCUUAAGACGGGAUGCGUACUUUUACGAGGCUACAUGCAAGUUACACAACUACUUGCAACAAAACUGUGCAUGCACUUAUUUGAUUGCUCACAUCUAUAAAUGGAGAUGACUUAGUUGGUUAAGAUAUCAACAUGUUUUCUUUUUCUCUAAUACUAUUAUGUAACAUUUCAUCUGAAUGCAUUUGAAACAUAUGCUUGAUCAUAUUUUUUUGACUAGGCAAGAUAUUAAUCAUAUAUUUGUUCAUCCAUCUUCUCCGGGACAAUCGAAUGUUCAUGUCCCAUGUUUUAUUGCUUCUUCGACUUGCAAUGUAGGCUACAUAGAAGGCAUUGGCAAAGCCACUAAUUGGUUAUCGACAGUAAUUAUGUUUA